ACGUACGCUGGCGGCACGCCUAACACAUGCAAGUCGAACGAAGUAGCAAUACUUAGUGGCAGACGGGUGAGUAACAUGUAGGUAUCUGCCCUUUGGCCUGGAAUAACACGAGGAAACUUGUGCUAAUACCGGAUAAGUCUUUACGGAGAAAGCUUUAUGCACCAUUGGAUGAGCCUGCACUUGAUUAGUUUGUUGGUGGGUAAUGGCCUACCAAGACUGUGAUCAAUAGCUGAUUUGAGAGGAUGAUCAGCCACAUUGGGACUGAGACACGGCCCAGACAUCUACGGAUGGCAGCAGUUAAGAAUAUUGG
rnacentral:rRNA from 1 species